GAUGAACGCUGGCGGCGUGCCUAAUACAUGCAAGUCGAGCGAACAGACGAGGAGCUUGCUCCUCUGACGUUAGCGGCGGACGGGUGAGUAACACGUGGAUAACCUACCUAUAAGACUGGGAUAACUUCGGGAAACCGGAGCUAAUACCGGAUAAUAUAUUGAACCGCAUGGUUCAAUAGUGAAAGACGGUUUUGCUGUCACUUAUAGAUGGAUCCGCGCCGCAUUAGCUAGUUGGUAAGGUAACGGCUUACCAAGGCAACGAUGCGUAGCCGACCUGAGAGGGUGAUCGGCCACACUGGAACUGAGACACGGUCCAGACUCCUACGGGAGGCAGCAGUAGGGAAUCUUCCGCAAAGGGCGAAAGCCUGACGGAGCAACGCCGCGUGAGUGAUGGAGGUCUUCGGAUCGUAAAACUCUGUUAUUAGGGAAGAACAAAUGUGUAAGUAACUAUGCACGUCUUGACGGUACCUAAUCAGAAAGCCACGGCUAACUACGUG
rnacentral:rRNA from 1 species